rnacentral:misc_RNA from 1 species
GAUGGAGAAAUAAUGCUGCAUAUCGAUUAGAUCGUGAGGGAGUCUAUGUUACUCCAUCAUCAAGAGCUUUCCGCGAUGAAGAAGGCAAGAGCUUUUGGGUUGAAAUAGAAAUUUUUGAUAGAUACAGAUACCCAUCUGGGUCUCAAGCUCCAUAUAAUGUCACGGUGAGUUUGUUAGUACCCGGCAAUUACCAAGGUGAUAGAACUAUUAAGCAAAAUAAGAUAUUUAAUCAACCUGGAAAACAUCGGCUUAUGCUGCCAACUGUUUCUGUGAGGACUGCUGGUACAGUGUUGGUGGAGAUGGUUGACAAAAAUGGGCUAUAUUUCUCUGAUGAUUUCUCCUUGACAUUCCAUUUUCAUUAUUAUAAGCUGUUAAAAUGGCUUCUCGUUCUUCCUAUGCUGGGGAUGCUUGGUGUGCUUGUCAUUCUUCGUCCGCAAGAGGCCAUGCCAUUACCAUCAUUUACGCGAAACACCAACCUCUGAUGUUGCUUUCACAAAAAAUAUAACACAUCUCCUUUGGGUUAUAGAAAUGAGGCAUCUUCUCUAGCUGGAACUUUGAGCUGACAACGGCCUUUGUGAGUAGAUGUACGUUUAACUGUAUAGGGACAAGGGAUAAUUGCUUUUGAUCCUACCUGAAUCUGAAUUGUGAGCAUACAAGUUGGUUUGUGCCAUUAUUGUACCCUUCCCCAGGUGUAACAUACUUAUAAUUGCUAG